UCAGGCCAGGUCGGCAAGAGCGUUACGUUACAAUAUAUAUAUUAGGGUGGCCGCAAUUCGGGUCACUUUUUUUUUGCAAAUUCCUUUGCGGAAACAUCAUCAACAUCAAAAAAAAAAUGUGUACCAAAUUUGAAUGCUCUAGGAGAAUUUAAACAGGUGCCACCGAAGAGUUGAAGUUUUAAAUGCAAAACACGUGUAUUUAUCAAACUCAUUAAUCAAUUGUUUUCUGCCUCCCAUAUUAAUGACGAUAGAAAUCUGAAAUUUGGCACACUUGUUGUUCAUAUUGAAGGGUACGAAACGGAAUUUUUUCAGAUUUUUCCGAAGAUUAUUUCCGCGAUUUUAACUAUUACAAAGAUGACCAUAUUUUUUAAUUUUUUUAGAACUUUGAUUACGGUCAAUCAAAGCACUUUUAAACGUCACUUUGAUGCAUUUAGACAAUGUUUAAGCCGAAAUCAACAGUGUAUAUUUAACAUUAACUCAUCAAAACCCGAAAUUGGGCGAAAAUUCAUCGAUGAAGCGGUCCAAACAAAGUCCCUCUGCCAGGGGUUGGAAAAGUUUUUUGAAAAUUUAACGUUUUUUUACAAUCCGCCAAUCUGUAUAUAAUUUCUUAACUUUUGCAACACACUUGUAUAAACUUGGCUCAAGGAUACUAGCUUUUUCCUAGAAAUACUUUUUUUUCUUUAGGAUCAUUGAAGUACUUUAUUAUAAACUGUAAUUUAUCUAACGCAUAUUCCAAAAAGCACUUCCAACAUUUUUGUAAUUUACUCGGCAUUCUAGUUCGAGAAAUUUGUGAAUUAACGUUUCCAGUAAUAAAAAUAUUUGUCACAACAUAUUUUCUUGCCAUCACUGUUCACACUUUUACUAGUAGUGCUCCAUUCACUCUAGUAGCACGUAUAAUGUGUAUUGGAAGAAGUACGGAAGGUUGCUUUCUGCUAUGAGGUGAAUUCGCAAAAAGAAAAUAUGACGCGCCUUUGUCUUGAUCUUUCUUAGUCUGUAUAUGCAAUACUCAGUAUACGUGCUACUACAGUCGGUGAAACACUGCUUAUUACGGUACGAGCAACGAUGGCAUACGAAUUACGAAAAAAUAUUUUUUUUGAUUGGUGAUCUUGAUUCACAAAUUGUUGGAAAUAAAUUACCGAACCAAUUGCAAGUGUUGAAAGUGCUUUUUUUCAACAUGCGUCAGUUGAAUUACAGUUUAAAACAAAGUGCUUCGAUGGUCGUGAAGGAAGUUUUUAUUUUCUGGGAAAAAGCUGGUAUCCCUACGUUAGACUUAUAUAAGUGUAUUGAAAAAAUCGAGAAACUGUACGGAAUUUGGCGCUCCACACAAAAACGUGCUGGGAAAAAGUGCAAUGAAGCCAAAGAAGUGGAUUUCAGACUAAAAAACGAGUCCCUAUUUGAUAUCGCUGCAUCUUCAGAAGUGCUCAAAGAAAUCGACGACGAAAGAGUAACUUUUUUGCAAGACUAAAGGAAACCAGGACGAAUCGGUUUCAUUGGUAAUAUCCAAACUAUACACGAUGAGAAUAUCACCGAUGAAGAGAUUAACUUUAUCCUGGAAAAACGCAAACAGGCCAAAUACGAAAGAGAACAAAGCAACAUUGGCGAUAAUGUUGAGCUGGUAGACAGCAGCCAAAGUACUCAAUCUUUUUCUCAACGGAGUAAUUUCUCGACUGAAUUUUUUAAUCAAGAUAAUACGGAGAUUACUGGGCCAUCGCCCUCAAAAAGAUUUCGGGGCGCAGUAAACAUUAUUAGUGAGAAAUUAGUCGCGACUUUAGACACAUGUUUAAUUUCCGAUCGGAAUUGUACGCAUCAUAGCUGCAGUAGCAGAGUCAUAUGGAUGCGAUCUCAAUACGCUUAUCAUCAACAAAGUGUCGAUCCACAAAUAUCGGGAACGAAUCCGUAAAAAAUGUGCCGAAAAAAUUAAACGGAUAUUUCCUUCUUGUGAACUACGUGCCCCGGUGCUUCAUUGGGAUGGAAAAUUAUUGCAAAAUUUUUCGCAAAGCGACAAUGUCGAUUGCGUGGCUAUUAUAAUCACAAACGAAGGAAAUGAACAAAUUUUAUCAAUUCCUGCACUCGAAAAUGGUUACGGCUCAACGCAAGCAGGUGCCAUUGCCGAGGUCCUUCAAGAUUGGGGACUUACUGAUACAAUUAAGGCUCUCUGCUGCGACACUACAAAUGCGAAUCUUGGUUUGAGAAAAGGUGCUGCCGUACUCCUUGAGCAAAUAAUCGGUCGUGAUUUGCUAUAUCUUCCAUGCAGGCACCAUAUUUUUGAAAUCGUGUUAGGUGGAGUUUUUGAUGCACUCAUGCCUGUGUUGUGCCCGUACAUCGCACUCAUUAAAACAAAUUAAGCCCUAUCAGCGCAAACGCAGCAAUGAUGAAAUAUCGAUGCUCCCGAACGAGCGCAUCGACCCUCGAUGUCAACAUCGAA